rnacentral:rRNA from 1 species
CCUACGGGAGGCAGCAGUGGGGAAUAUUGCACAAUGGGCGAAAGCCUGAUGCAGCGACGCCGCGUGAGGGAUGACGGCCUUCGGGUUGUAAACCUCUUUCAGCAGGGAAGAAGCGAGAGUGACGGUACCUGCAGAAGAAGCGCCGGCUAACUACGUGCCAGCAGCCGCGGUAAUACGUAGGGCGCAAGCGUUGUCCGGAAUUAUUGGGCGUAAAGAGCUCGUAGGCGGCUUGUUGCGUCGGUUGUGAAAGCCCGGGGCUUAACCCCGGGUCUGCAGUCGAUACGGGCAGGCUAGAGUGUGGUAGGGGAGAUCGGAAUUCCUGGUGUAGCGGUGAAAUGCGCAGAUAUCAGGAGGAACACCGGUGGCGAAGGCGGAUCUCUGGGCCAUUACUGACGCUGAGGAGCGAAAGCGUGGGGAGCGAACAGGAUUAGAUACCCUGGUAGUCCACGCCGUAAACGUUGGGAACUAGGUGUUGGCGACAUUCCACGUCGUCGGUGCCGCAGCUAACGCAUUAAGUUCCCCGCCUGGGGAGUACGGCCGCAAGGCUAAAACUCAAAGUGAAGUUGACGGNGUGAGAGNGCGACGCGACGACGAGGAGGAGG